UACGGAGGGGGCAAGCGUUGUCCGGACUUACUGGGCGUAAAGGGUGCGUAGGCGGUUGCAUGCGUCCGCGCUGAAAUCCCGAGGCUCAACCUCGGGGCGCGUGCGGAUACGAUGCGACUUGAGGCUCGGAGAGGGUGGGAGAACUCCUGGUGUAGUGGUGAAAUGCGUAGAGAUCAGGAAGAACACCCGUGGCGAAAGCGGCUCUCUGGAACGGUACUGACGCUGAGACGCGAAAGCGUGGGGAGCGAACAGG
rnacentral:rRNA from 1 species